CUUUGAGAGAUGUUUGUCGAAAAAUUGUGGUUUUCUAUCGCGAAUUUUCACUCUGAAAAUUUUGAUUUUUGGAAGGUACGUUUUUAUAAUUGUUUUAUUUGUGACCUUAAUUGCACAAUUUUUGUUUUAUGUGGUUGUCGUAUCAUGCUUCAGUGAUGUUAAUCACGCAUUGAAUUACCCUUGGUUUCGGGUCAGUGCACAUGUUACAAAAAUGCCUCCGAUACUCGCCGGGGGUUAAAUACUUUUUAAAUCAGGAAAUUCAACAAAAUUUACAGCAUCGAAUUCAGAAAGGGUUAUUCUUUCUAUUGAUACUUCAAAACACAAAUAACCCCCUCGAACUGACGAGUUAUCGCGGUUUGAAAAUGGGGUAUAUUUCGGGGCUAUAAAAGAAAUGACAUUGAUAUACGCCGGGGGUUAAAUAGUUUAUAAAUCGGGAAAUUCAGCAAAAUUCACAUCAUUGAAUUCGGGGAGGGUCACGGUUCUAGCUGAUACUUUAAAACAUUAAUAAUCCCCUCCAACCGACGAGUUAUCGCGGUUUGAAAAUGGGGUAUAUUCCCGGUAUAGUGCCAUGACACGAAAACGGCUUUGAUAUAUGCAGGGGGUUAUUAGGUUUAUAAAUCGAGAAAUUCAAUAAAAUUCACAUCAUUGUAUUCAGUAAGGGUUACUCUUUCUAUUGGUACCUUAAAACAUAAAUAACCCCCUGAAACAGACGAGUAAUCGUUGUUUGAAAAUGGGGUAUUUUUACUUUUGUUGUCACCAAUCGCGGGAAAAGAGGAAUUCUACAGGAAAUAUGGCGCGAAUGCAACGUAAACAAGCCAGCUUUUCUAUAAACGUAUUGUUCCUGAUUGUAUCAUUUGUUUUUAUAGAAUUCGACUUAUUCGAGUUUAUUGGAGAAAAAAAGGAACUAUUAAUGAUGGCGAUGUUGUCAUUGUUGAUCAUGAUUUAGAAAAUGAGGAAACUCAAAUUUAAUACUGAUACGCCAGGAAAAUAUCUCGUGUGGAGAGUUCAUCAUUCACUCCAUUCAAUCGAGCUUUGUUUCAAAGUCUUGGCACAUCAGCAAAGGUAUAAUAAAAAAAAUAUGGUAGACGAAAUUGUACUUAUAAAUGUACUGUUAUUCUUUGCUAUUUUAUUCUUAUAAAUUGUCUUUGUAUAUUCAGUGUAAAGCUGGAGUAAAUACGAGCAACAAAAUUGCUGCAACUUGCAACAAAAUCUGAUUUCAACGCAUGUACGAGGCAACAUCUGUCAACAUUUCUAUGACUUGUAUUAAGUUAUGUGUCAACAUCUCCACUUAACAUCUGUUGAAAUCAGAUUUUGUUGCAAAUUGCAGCUAUUUUGUUGUCUGUAUUACUCCACCUUAAUACCUCUGUGUAACAUUAUUCUGCAGUGUAACAUUAUUCAUGUAUGUUUAUUCAUAUGUCAUCUGCACCCCAAUUUCCAUUUUAGUAAAUGACAUACUUUUUUGUAGUUUCCUAGCAGAAAGAUCAGGCUGACUCUGUCAGAGAAGUUACCAGUGAAAAAAACAUAAAUGGACCUUUGAGGAAAAUAAAGCUUUGAUCAAGUUGAUAUCUAUUGCCAAAAAAGAUCCAUGGAUCUGGAGAAAUUUUGUCCAUAACAAAAUAAAAUAACAACAAUUUACCGCAUUAGCCUAGUAAUCUAUGUCACUGUUAUAAUGGGUCGUUCCAGAAAAGAUCCAUACUCCCCCCACAGAGGAAAUUUCUGCCGUCCGGAGGGGGAGGGGAGAAAAAAUUGUUUCUGAUAAUAGUAAAUGUAUUAGGACAUCCGAAGGGGGUAGGGGGGUUAACUUCCUAUUUCCUCUGUGGGGGCGGUAUGGAUGUUUUCUGGAAUGACCCAAUUGUAGGGAUCCAUAAUAAAAUAAAUAUGUAGGAAUCCAUAAUAAAAUAACAACAAUUUACAAUAUACUUCUUGUGUGUGUUGGUGUUAUUUACUCAGGUGAAUAUGUUUGUGAUGUUACUCUGAGUAUGCAUCCACACCGAGCUGAGCUCAG